UAAAUGAAAGCCAAAGAAGAGGCACCUACCUGUUAACUAGGAGAAUGUAAUAAUCUUACUCAUUUAG
rnacentral:tRNA from 1 species